AUACGUAGGGAGCGAGCGUUGUCCGGAAUUACUGGGUGUAAAGGGAGCGUAGGCGGGAGUGCAAGUCAGAUGUGAAAUACAUGGGCUCAACCCAUGGGCUGCAUUUGAAACUGCAUUUCUUGAGUGAAGUAGAGGUAAGCGGAAUUCCUGGUGUAGCGGUGAAAUGCGUAGAUAUCAGGAGGAACACCGGUGGCGAAGGCGGCUUACUGGGCUUUUACUGACGCUGAGGCUCGAAAGCGUGGGGAGCAAACAGGAUUAGAUACCCUGGUAGUCCACGCUGCAAACGAUGAUUACUAGGUGUGGGGGGACUGACCCCUUCCGUGCCGCAGUUAACACAAUAAGUAAUCCACCUGGGGAGUACGGCCGCAAGGUUGAAACUCAAAUGAAUUGACGGGG
rnacentral:rRNA from 1 species